GACGAGGGAUCCUAGCGUUGCUCGGAAUCAUUGGGCGUAAAGGGGGCGUAGGUGGCUUUGUAAGUCAGAUGUGAAAGCCCAGGGCUUAACCCUGGAAGUGCAUUUGAUACUGCGAAGCUUGAGUGUUGGAGAGGUUACCGGAAUACCUGGUGUAGUGGUGAAAUACGUAGAUAUCAGGUGGAACAUCGGAGGCGAAGGCGGGUAACUGGCCAAACACUGACACUGAGGCCCGAAAGCGUGGGGAUCAAACAGG
rnacentral:rRNA from 1 species